UACGGGGGGGGCAAGCGUUGUUCGGAAUUACUGGGCGUAAAGGGCUCGUAGGCGGCCAACUAAGUCAGACGUGAAAUCCCUCGGCUUAACCGGGGAACUGCGUCUGAUACUGGAUGGCUUGAGGUUGGGAGAGGGAUGCGGAAUUCCAGGUGUAGCGGUGAAAUGCGUAGAGAUCGGGAGGAACACCAGAGGCGAAGGCGGCGACCUGGACAAGUACUGACACUCAACUACGAAAGCGUGGGGAGCAAACAGG
rnacentral:rRNA from 1 species